rnacentral:lncRNA from 1 species
UCUACCCUUACCUUGACUCAAAAGAUCUCCCAACAUAUCUCCCAACUUCUGGUCGUCUUUCACCAUCACCAUAAUUGAAUGCCAUCAUUUAAGCCUCUCCAGCAGAAAGUAAAGAGACGCCCGCUUCACUUCAUCUUCCCCUAACCCCUCCAGUCCUAUAAAAUCCACCACACAUUACAUAGCCUCUUUGCUUUGCUCCUGGCGCGAACCAAUGAGCCACCACCGUCUGCCUCUGCCGGGAUUGCAGGGUUAUUUCUAAACAGGUGGGUGUAAUUUGGGAAGUAGGGUAAGGAGUAGUGUAAGGGAAUUGGCGCUAAGACACUAAAUUUGCAGUGAAACUGGCGGCUGGGGUACAUGCCAGGUUCGCAACGACGAGUUCAACCAAUCUAGCAGUUCUUCCUCCUGAUACAGGUGAAUCAUGAAGAGGGACGAGGAAAUAGGAGAAGGCAUAAACUUUUAUCUUUAUGAACAUGUUAAUGCCGUAAAUUAUUUCUUUUUUUUAUUUUCAAGACGAGUAUCAUCUUUACAUUAGAAGAAGCUCUUGGAGUGUUCGCUCUAAUAUCAAAGAUCAUGAGCCGACCCCAAAGGAAACGUUUGCGCAUGAUUGUUGAUGAUAGCAACAAGGGCAGCUCUAAUAAGUGAGUGCAAUUAUGUUUCAAUAACUUUCUCUGCUUUCCGUUGUUUAAGAGAUUCUUUUAUGUGAAGUGAAUUUUAAGAAUGUUCACAAUGAUCGCCGGGCUGUACUCUAUCUGAAUGAUUGUGAUUGUGGGGAGGAACUUUGUCGUGAGAAGGCGACAAUUAAGGAAAAAAUUAUGUGCACAAAGUCAGCAUCAAGGACAUGGUUGUGGAAUUUGAUAAGAGUAAAAAAUGAAUAGAUAAAAAAUGCUUGUUAGGUCGUCCCAUCCAAGUUAUUUAGAUAACACCAUUUUAAGAAUUUGGGAAGUGCUUUUCAAAGGAUACAUAUAUCAAGGGAGAUAGCCAGUUCACUGUAGUCCCUCAUCCCGCACUGCUCUUCCAGAUGCUGAGUUAGAGGUGUUAAAGCUUCCAGCAUGUUUUCAAUUUUGAAACUAUUAAAUACUCCAACUAAGGAUGCAUUACUAGAUGAAUUUCUUCCCAAAAUUGUCCCUUGCAAAUUGGACCACCACUCCCUGGAUGAUCCAUGCAAAUGCUGAGCACAAGUAUCCGUAUGAUUGGCGAACAAAGAAACCUGCAAGUAUCUUGGAUAAGUUUUUUAGCAUGCUCAUCUUCGAAGAAGAUGCUGGGUGAGCUUCAUCAUAAACAGUCUUGUGUUGAUCCUUGGAUAUGCAUAUCCAGCUUUUGAGUGUUUUAAAACCAUUGAGAAGCAUAGUGAAGAAAUGCAGAAUUCAGAUUUUGGUGUCAAUAUUGGUUACCGAUGUAUGGAGAGAUGAAGCUAGCGCUCAUCAUCUACUUAUGGUAUCCUAAAACUAAGGGAAUAGGAUAUGUAUAUAAUGCCAUGUUGAGACCGUUUGUAGCAAGACAUGAGCCCGAUAUAGAAAGGAAGUUUAAGGGAAAUGAGGGCGAAAGCGUGGGAUGUGGCGAUUAAUCAAUUUUGAAGAGAAAUUGAGGAUAUGCAUACACAUACAUGAUCAUAAUAUGAAAAUCUAAAUGAUUAACAUAUUAUUUUUUCCAUUGCAUUAUGGGUGAUAAAUUUUUAAUCCGCUAAAAUUCUACUCUUUUGAAAUUGCAUAAAGAUGUACGAUUGCUUGAUGUGUAUCGUGUUCCUGUCAAAUCUAAAUGAUUAACAUAUUAUUUUUUCCAU